CUGCUCCAACGGAACUUAUUGUAUCUUAGGAAAACACAAACACGGUGUACAGUUGAGUCUAAACAGCUACAACAACAAAGUAACUGUAUUCUGAGUACCAACUUUUUAAAAGGUAACUGCUCUUCUGCUGUUUUGAUUAAUUUGAUUUGAUUAAUAUUCCAGUUUCAGUUUUUUUCCCACAGUUUUGUUGCCCUUUUGGUUUUAAGCGCUGUCACCGAUCUUUACAUUUUAUUAUUAUCUCAUAACUCUUUCAGCUACCAUCUCUCCUAUGGACUUUUUACAGUCUCAGAUCAGCACAGCCCUCCAGCACUAUCAGCAGCAGGAGCAGCAGAAACCCCUCAACAGCAACAUUGUAUCCAUCAGGUAAACAUAGGAUACAUUUUCUUCCUGGAAUUGUCUCCACCUGAUGACAGUGAUAUACGAUGAUGUGAUUCUAUAUUAAAUUCUUGAUGAAUGUGUGUUGUUGUUAUUCAGUCUGGUUUUAUGUGGCCCUUUUUAACUUUGAGCACCCGCCCCUUCAAACAUCUCUGCACGGCUCUGAUGGGAUUUCUUGUCUGUGAUGUUUAUUUCAGAGGAUGGGUGGAACCUCAGUGAAAGCUGUUCAACAAACAGUUGCAGCUACAGAAAAGGCAGCAUGCAGAGACUCAGUGUCUGAUAAUGAGAGGUGCUGCUUUCUGUCAUAUAUUAUAUUCACUUGUUAUUAUUAGCACAUGUUACCUCUGAGUGCAGAAUCCAAUGCAUAAUCUAAGAAGAACACUAAAAAUAGAUUAAGUUAUAAAUAAUACAAAAUAAAUAAUUCAUGUGAUGAAGCUAUUUCUUCACAUGCCUCGGCAUAUGUCUAAAUGAAUGACUUACAGGUUUUUACUGAAUAUAAAAGCAAACAAAUCCUUUAACUUGAGCUCACAGAAAGAGAGCACACAGCCUCUGGCUCUGUGCCAUUAAAAAUGGUCGAGUCAAAGUCAAUGACAUCAAACAUCCUGACAGUUUAGGUCUGAACAUCUUUUUAGGGUGAGGUUCACAUGGAAGUCUUCAUGCUGACUUUUACCUGUAUCACAUACACAAAUGUCUUAUAACAGAAAUGUCUGUAAGAGAUUUUUCUUACAGACAUUAAGAAACAGAGCUAACGAGUUGAAUGUGUUUUUCAGCAUAUUUGAGACUGCAGUGAAUGCUCACCCACCUACAGCCUCACCUGUAGUCAGUCUGAAACCCGGAGCCUCACCACUGUCUCUCCCUCCCUCUCCACAUUGCACUUUUGCCUCCUGUGAAAGUCUUGACAUCCCUCCCCGACCUAUCACUUUCACUCACAACCACGUCCAAUGAGAAGACUCCACUCAGGCAAGUCUGCUGGGCCAGAAGGGGUGAGUCUCCGCAUCCUCAAGGCCUCUGCCUGUCCUGUCAAAAAAUCCUCCACAGAGUACACUCUCCUCCUCUCCAUCCUGUCCUGACCUUUAUGGUAAUAAUCUGAAACUGCUGAGCUCCUCCUCUCUGUUGAAGCUGUUAGGGUGACAGUGUCAGCUGGGUUUCUCUGAGUUACAGUCGGAGAGGUUGUGACCAGGAUUUCUAACAGGACAUAUAUCAGGAUUAUUCUGCUUACUUCUGUUUUACAUGAAGUGCUUUGAUUUACAUCUGAUUCCAGCUCAGAGCAUUGACACAUCAGUCCGUUCUUGUUAUAUUCAUCAUGAUGAGGAGAAGAAACUCUGAGGUAUCUCCAGAACUCCUGACAUCAACCAGAAAAUCAUCACAGCUGAGUCUGGACAGGACGUCACUCUGACAUGUCGAGCUCCAAACAACAACAUCAUAGUUGUAAAGUGGAGCAGAGCUGACCUGGGAGAUGAAUAUGUGUUUGUUUAUCGGGAUGGGCAAUUUGUUCCAGAUGACCAGCAUCCAUCUUCUAAGAACCGGGUGGAUCUGCAGGACAGACAGAUGAAGGAUGGAGACGUGUCUUUGAUUCUGAAGGAUGUGACGAUUAAUGACACUGGAACAUACAAGUGUCGUGUCGUCCACAAUGUGGGAGGACGUAUGACUCUAAUUGGCCAUCUAACACUGAGUGUUGUUGAUCCUCCAGCUCAGACACGAGGACACACAGAGGAUGGACCUGUUAGUGUUGUUGUUUUUUUUAAUUUUUAAUUUUUUUUUUCCCUUUUCAUGCCGCGCCCCCCCUGCAAUGGCGGGCCCCACACUUUGGGAAGGUCUGGCAUACAGGGACAACUGUGCUCAGUGGGGAGAAAGAGGUUUGUGUUAAAAACCAGAUUUAUGAGAUUUUUAGGGUUUUGUGGCCAAAUAGAAAACCUGGAGAAGUAGACGAGGUCAGUUUAACUGAUAUCAGUCCUAUCACAGCCAUAAAGGGGAAAAUGUCUUCUCUUCCUCGGUGGACUCUACAAACACAGUCUACUGAACACAGUGGCUAAAAGUAUAAAAUGCAGAAGCUGUUGUAAAAGUUAUCAGCAGCUUUCUUUUAGGGCUCUGAAUGUUGUAAUUUUUCCAGUGAGAACACAACACACGUAAAACCUGCUCACAACUAAGUCUGGAUUUUGGUCUUAUACAUAAGUCCAGGACACUCAGACGCAGGUCAGAUUUCCAUGUAUCUGAAAUGAGGUAAUCAAUGUGUUUAGAGAGUCAGUCAGCUCUGAUACUUCAGGGUCACUGCAGGAAGGUAGAAAUCUGUGUGGAGAGACAGGGAUAGGAAGUAAAGUGACAAAUUAGAGAACAGAUUAUUUCACAAUAAAACAGGAAGUGAAACAAAAAGAAAACCAAAGGAUCACCACAGAGAGAAGAAAAUAAUAGAAUCAAAGUGAAACUAGCAACGUUCAAAAUAACAAUGAGUUCAAAGUGUGAGGAGGUCUGAUGUUCCAACAGUGUUCAGGCUGAGAAUUAUUACCUGCAAUGCAGUGCUGUCUCACUGUUAUAAUGUUUUAUAGAUCA